rnacentral:rRNA from 1 species
AACGAACGCUGGCGGCAUGCCUAACACAUGCAAGUCGAACGAGACCUUCGGGACUAGUGGCGCACGGGUGCGUAACGCGUGGGAACCUGCCCUUAGGUUCGGAAUAACUCCCUGAAAGGGGUGCUAAUACCGGAUAAUGUCUUCGGAUCAAAGAUUUAUCGCCUUUGGAUGGGCCCGCGUUGGAUUAGCUAGUUGGUAGGGUAAAAGCCUACCAAGGCGACGAUCCAUAGCUGGUCUGAGAGGAUGAUCAGCCACACUGGGACUGAGACACGGCCCAGACUCCUACGGGAGGCAGCAGUGGGGAAUAUUGGACAAUGGGCGAAAGCCUGAUCCAGCAAUGCCGCGUGAGUGAUGAAGGCCUUAGGGUUGUAAAGCUCUUUUACCCGGGAUGAUAAUGACAGUACCGGGAGAAUAAGCUCCGGCUAACUCCGUG